GUGGGGAAUCUUGCGCAAUGGGCAAAAGCCUGACGCAGCCAUGCCGCGUGAAUGAUGAAGGUCUUAGGAUUGUAAAAUUCUUUCACCGGGGACGAUAAUGACGGUACCCGGAGAAGAAGCCCCGGCUAACUUCGUGCCAGCAGCCGCGGUAAUACGAAGGGGGCUAGCGUUGCUCGGAAUUACUGGGCGUAAAGGGCGCGUAGGCGGACAGUUUAGUCAGAGGUGAAAGCCCAGGGCUCAACCUUGGAAUUGCCUUUGAUACUGGCUGUCUUGAGUACGGGAGAGGUGAGUGGAACUCCGAGUGUAGAGGUGAAAUUCGUAGAUAUUCGGAAGAACACCAGUGGCGAAGGCGACUCACUGGCCCGUUACUGACGCUGAGGCGCGAAAGCGUGGGGAGCAAACAGGAUUAGAUACCCCGGUAGUCC
rnacentral:rRNA from 1 species